AGAGUUUGAUCCUGGCUCAGGACGAACGCUGGCGGCGUGCCUAAUACAUGCAAGUCGAGCGGACCCCUUCGGGGUUAGCGGCGGACGGGUGAGUAACACGUAGGCAACCUGCCUGUAAGAUCGGGAUAACUACCGGAAACGGUAGCUAAGACCGGAUAGAUGGUUUCUUCGCAUGAAGGAAUCAAGAAACACGGAGCAAU
rnacentral:rRNA from 1 species